rnacentral:lncRNA from 1 species
GCCCCGGAGAGCCCGCGCCGGCGCCUGGGGAGAGCGGGCGGUUGGCGGAAACACGGGUGGCCGAGUUGGGGGUAGCGAACUGGGCCCGUGAAAGCACGGAGUGCUCUUCUACCUGAGUCUCUGGGCGCUGUUAGAAAGAGCCCGGGCUAGGGGCCAGAGGCGUGUAUGACUCUGGGCAGCUUCUGCUUCUUCCCGCGCGUCAGUCUUGACAUCCUCACAAUGAGGUUGGCGGCGAGGGGGGAACCCUAUGGGGUACAAAAGGGCUGACGCGGGGACCGAAGCCCGGAAAUGGGAGUGAAAGAAGGCGCGAAGACAACCCUGGGCGUGGCGGCCUCUGCCGCUAAAGGGUAGCCGCCCAGUCCUCGGAGCCCGCAGGCCCCGCCCCCGCCCAGCAGGCCCCGCCCCGAGAUCUAAGUCUCACGGCACCCUCCUCCUACCUCUCUGCAAGCCCCGCCGGCCGCGCCUUCGGAUCGAGUAUCGUCUGCGCUCCGUGGACGCGCCCUCCGCCCGCCGACCGACAGAACUGCCUGUACCCGCCUGUUCUCCUUGCGGCCCGGACACAUAGUAUGACCAUUAGAUAUUUCGUCUACCAACCAUUUUCCAUGGAAAACCAAAGGGAUCAGGCCAUGAUAGCCACUGGCAGCUUUGAAGAACGGGACAUCUUUAGAGAAGCUUGACCUUGAAGACCUCAGCGUGGGACCUAACAAAGCCGGUCUCCGGCAGAGUUCCUCUGUCUCGUCUUGUUGCUGACAGAAGGUGCCCCCUUCUCCAGUUUUUGUUCAUCUCCUGGGAGGUUGCAGGAAUCGUCAUUAUGGUUGGGUUCAAGGCCACAGAUGUGCCCCCUACAGCCACUGUGAAGUUCCUGGGGGCAGGCACAGCUGCCUGCAUCGCUGACCUCAUCACCUUUCCCCUGGAUACUGCUAAAGUUCGGCUACAGGUGAGUGAAUGAAGCCUGCAUUUCUGAGCGUAGCUAGUUCACUCCCUCCCCAGGAC